UCCGUGAGUAUUUCUUUUUUUUACCUUAGGUGACCAUUAGUCUACGUAAAGAACUAUUUUAAUUCCGCACAGAAUAAUAGAAGAUGGAGAUUUUCUUUCUGGAUACUUUUAUCUGUUGAAGAUUGGAAGACUACAUCCUGAACUAGAGAUCGCUGGGAGUUCAAUUAGAAUUAACAAUGAAACAACAAAAUAGAAAUAAAAAAAAUCAACAGAAAGGGAUGAGCUCAAUGAACAUUGAUUCAACGCAAGCCCGAAUCGCUUAAUCUUGAUAAUAUGCGAGUUCUCCAGAACCAGACAUGUUGACUUCCCCAACCUCCUCUACAUGCUUGUCAUCCUUGCCUUCGCGGCUCGGAUAUCAAUCUUACAUGUGGAGAAGAAUGAUUUGUUUUCCACGGCUAGGCCUGAAAAUAAAUAUUUUUUGAGAAUUUCAUUUCCAAUAA